rnacentral:piRNA from 1 species
UCAGAGCUCUUUUAACUGGUGGC